UGAGUUCAUCUAUAUAAAGGAAGCUUAUGUAAAGAGUUUAAGAAUCUAAAUAUAUACAUCCCAUUGAAUUUCUCAAGUAGGAAGUAAGAAAUUAAAGGGCCAAGUAGUAAUUAGAUCCAAUAUCAUAUAAUGGCUAAGUUGUUUUGUGCUGCACCCGUUUUCGUUGCUUGUUUUGUCUUGCUGUUGAUUACGGUUUCCGUUUCUGCUGACCGGACUUGCAGAUUUGAUGGUGGAGCUUGGGGAACCAUAACCGAAGGAAGAGGCCCGUCUUGCCGGAGCUGUAUGUUAAAUUGCUUCAAGAACUGUGGGGAGAGCAAGUACAGGCAAGUGUACCAGCCCACAUGUGAUAUUAUGCCCGGGAACAUAAACGCAUGUCUAUGUUGUUGUAGUUUGGCAAAGAAAUUAUUCAACAUCAUUGAAGCAGGCCAAUAGAUCAUCCAAAAAUGCCGAAAUCAAGAUAACCUUUCGUACGAAAUUUGAGUUUGAGUAACCCAAAGUCAGAGAAGCUCUCGGAGCAAAGAAUUAAAGGAAUAAAAAAAGUAUAAAAUUGGUCGAUUAACCCGAUAACAAUAAUUCCCGGAUGAAAAAGACAUGUAAUAUUUGAUACUGUUUAAAUAGACGAGAAUGUAAAAAU